GCCUGAUGCAGCGUGCCGCGUGAGUGAUGAAGGCCUUAGGGUUGUAAAGCUCUUUCACCGGGGAAGAUGAUGACGUUACCCGGAGAAGAAGCACCGGCUAACUCCGUGCCAGCAGCCGCGGUAAA
rnacentral:rRNA from 1 species